UGGGGAAUAUUGCACAAUGGGCGCAAGCCUGAUGCAGCCAUGCCUCGUGUAUGAAGAAUGCCUUCGGGUUGUAAAGUACUUUCAGCGGGGAGGAAGGGAGUAAAGUUAAUACCUUUACUCAUUGACGUUACCCGCAGAAGAAGCACCGGCUAACUCCGUGCCAUCAGCCGCGGUAAUACGGAGUGUGCAAGCGUUAAUCGGAAUUACUGGGCGUAAAGCGCACGCAGGCGGUUUGUUAAGUCAGAUGUGAAAUCCCCGGGCUAAACCUGGGAACUGCAUCUGAUACUGGCAAGCUUGAGUCUCGUAGAGGGGGGUAGAAUUCCAGGUGUAGCGGUGAAAUGCGUAGAGAUCUGGAGGAAUAACGGUGGCGAAGGCGGCACCCUGGACGAAGACUGACGCUCAGGUGCGAAAGAGUGGGGAGCAAACAGG
rnacentral:rRNA from 1 species